GCGUGAAUGGAGAAUAACGCGUGGCUGGAGGAACAAUUGAAAAAUGGAUAAGAUAAUACAACAAAAGGAUGCUGCAGGCCCAAUUAUUGGAACAACACAAAAUAUUAGAUAACAGCAAAGCUAAGGAUGCUCAAAUUUUGAGUCUACAUGCUCAGUUACUGGAAAACAGACAAAUUAGAAUGGGACACUUUCCAAACAGUGAAGGAGGUUUUUCCAAACUCAUCCCUAACAGAACAUGAGGAUGAGUUGGCGUUAGGCGAAC